CAGAGACACGCGGCUGCCAGCACCCUGCAGGCCCGGUGGAAGGUGUACAGGCGCCAGAAGAGGGAGGCCGCGCUGGGCGAGGCGGCCACGGUGCUCCAGGCGGCCUUCCGCGGACACCUGGCUCGGGCGAGGCUAUUGGCGAGCCC